AUAAGAAUUGCUAGGAUUAACUUUAGUUACAACAUUGAACACGGAAUACAUAACCGUUCCUUAUGUUUGUUUACUUGGUAAUCCUCACAACCUAUUGAAUUUUAUUUGUGUAUUUUUUCCAGAGUCCAGGGUGUAUUGCCACUUUCAAGCUAUGGGACGGGGUAAAACCCGUC
rnacentral:ncRNA from 1 species